CGGACCUUGCGACUAAAUGAUGAGCCUAAGUCGGAUUAGCUAGUUGGUGGGGUAAAGGCCUACCAAGGCGACGAUCUGUAGCGGGUCUGAGAGGAUGAUCAGCCACACUGGGACUGAGACACGGCCCAGACUCCUACGGGAGGCAGCAGUGGGGAAUAUUGGACAAUGGGCGAAAGCCUGAUCCAGCAAUGCCGCGUGAGUGAUGAAGGCCUUAGGGUUGUAAAGCUCUUUACCCGGGAUGAUAAUGACAGUACCGGGAGAAUAAGCUCCGGCUAACUCCGUG
rnacentral:rRNA from 1 species